CCUACGGGCGGCAGCAGUGGGGAAUAUUGGGCAAUGGGCGCAAGCCUGACCCAGCAACGCCGCGUGAAGGAAGAAGGCUUUCGGGUUGUAAACUUCUUUUGACAGGGAAGAGUAGAAGACGGUACCUGUCGAAUAAGCCACGGCUAACUACGUGCCAGCAGCCGCGGUAAUACGUAGGGGGCAAGCGUUGUCCGGAUUUACUGGGUGUAAAGGGCGUGUAGCCGGGUUGACAAGUCAGAUGUGAAAUCCUGCGGCUUAACCGCAGAACUGCAUUUGAAACUGUUGAUCUUGAGUACUGGAGAGGCAGACGGAAUUCCUAGUGUAGCGGUGAAAUGCGUAGAUAUUAGGAGGAACACCAGUGGCGAAGGCAGUCUGCUGAACAGCAACUGACGGUGAGGCGCGAAAGCGUGGGGAGCAAACAGGAUUAGAUACCCUAGUAGUC
rnacentral:rRNA from 1 species